AGGCAGGAACACUAAGAAGCCAGGCUCUGGUGCAAGACAGCACAGCGGUGCGAAGCUGAGAGCGGAGAGAGAGGAUGUGCAGUAUGCCAGUCUGGAGUUCGACCGGCAAGGACGACGGUGAUGAUGUCACCCCCACGUGGAAUGAGAUACACCUGUCUCGUGGGAUAAUCAACUGUGUUCCUCCACACCUGGGGCUUUCUGGGAGCUGAUAUAUAGUAAUACGCUAUAGAUUCAAUAAACAGGUUCCCUUUUCUUCUGUUGAAA